UACGUAGGAGGCGAGCGUUGUCCGGAUUUAUUGGGCGUAAAGAGCUCGUAGGCGGCUUGUCGCGUCGGAUGUGAAAGCCCGGGGCUUAACCCCGGGUCUGCAUUCGAUACGGGCAGGCUAGAGUUCGGUAGGGGAGAUCGGAAUUCCUGGUGUAGCGGUGAAAUGCGCAGAUAUCAGGAGGAACACCGGUGGCGAAGGCGGAUCUCUGGGCCGAUACUGACGCUGAGGAGCGAAAGCGUGGGGAGCGAACAGG
rnacentral:rRNA from 1 species